rnacentral:lncRNA from 1 species
ACUAAUGGCCAAAAACUAGAGAAUAAGAAAGAAAAAUAUGAAAUUGUACUGUUGUAAGCGUAAGUUGCACUCUUUGAGAUAUAAACUACAAUCUUUAAGAUGAAAAUUACAUUUUUUAAACAAAAAUUACACUCUUUGAAAGAUAGUUACACUGUUUCUCCUCCUCCUCCUCCUAUCCCUCCGCGUUUUUGUACUUUUUCUACGCCCAACUCCUUUUUGCCUCCACCUCCAACAAUUAUUUUACCAGAUUUGCUGCAGUGGAGAUGGAGGGCAAAGAAGAGUUGGACGUAGAAGAAGCAUGAGAAAGUGGAAGGGAAGGAGAAGGAGGAGGAGAAAUAGUAUAAUUAUCUCCCAAAGAGUGAAAUUUUUGUUUAAAGAGUGUAAUUUUCAUUUUAAAGAUUGCAGUUUACAUCUCAAAGAGUGCAACUUAUGUCUAUAACAGUGCAACUCCAUCUUCUUC